GCCAGACUCCUACGGGAGGCAGCAGUGGGGAAUAUUGCACAAUGGGGGAAACCCUGAUGCAGCGACGCCGCGUGAGUGAAGAAGUAUUUCGGUAUGUAAAGCUCUAUCAGCAGGGAAGAAAAUGACGGUACCUGACCAAGAAGCCCCGGCUAACUACGUGCCAGCAGCCGCGGUAAUACGUAGGGGGCAAGCGUUAUCCGGAUUUACUGGGUGUAAAGGGAGCGUAGACGGCUGUGCAAGUCAGAAGUGAAAGCCCGGGGCUCAACCCCGGGACUGCUUUUGAAACUGCGUGGCUGGAGUGCAGGAGAGGUAAGCGGAAUUCCUGGUGUAGCGGUGAAAUGCGUAGAUAUCAGGAGGAACACCAGUGGCGAAGGCGGCUUACUGGACUGUAACUGACGUUGAGGCUCGAAAGCGUGGGGAGCAAACAGGAUUAGAUACCCGUGUAC
rnacentral:rRNA from 1 species